rnacentral:rRNA from 1 species
UUAGGGUUCGAUUCCGGAGAGGGAGCCUGAGAAACGGCUACCACAUCUAAGGAAGGCAGCAGGCGCGCAAAUUACCCAAUCCUAAUACAGGGAGGUAGUGACAAGAAAUAACAAUACAGGACUUUAAAUAGUUUUGUAAUUGGAAUGAGUUAAGUAUAAACCCCUUUACAAGUAUCAAUUGGAGGGCAAGUCUGGUGCCAGCAGCCGCGGUAAUUCCAGCUCCAAUAGCGUAUAUUAAAGUUGUUGCAGUUAAAAAGCUCGUAGUUGGAUUUCUGUUAAUAAUUUAUAUAUAAUAUUUUAUUGAUAUUUAUAUAGUAUUAACAUAAUUCAUAUUACUAAUUUUAUAGUAUAUGAAAUUUUACUUUGAGAAAAUUAGAGUGCUUAAAGCAGGCAUUAGCCUUGAAUACUCCAGCAUGGAAUAAUAUUAAAGAUUUUUAUCUUUUUUAUUGGUUCUAGGAUAAAAAUAAUGAUUAAUAGGGACAGUUGGGGGCAUUUGUAUUUAACAGUCAGAGGUGAAAUUCUUAGAUUUGUUAAAGACAAACUAGUGCGAAAGCAUUUGCCAAGGAUGUUUUCAUUAAUCAAGAACGAAAGUUAGGGGAUCGAAGACGAUCAGAUAC